rnacentral:rRNA from 1 species
UGGGGAAUAUUGCACAAUGGGCGCAAGCCUGAUGCAGCCAUGCCGCGUGUGUGAAGAAGGCCUUCGGGUUGUAAAGCACUUUCAGCGAGGAGGAAGGUGGUGAGCUUAAUACGCUCAUCAAUUGACGUUACUCGCAGAAGAAGCACCGGCUAACUCCGUGCCAGCAGCCGCGGUAAUACGGAGGGUGCAAGCGUUAAUCGGAAUUACUGGGCGUAAAGCGCACGCAGGCGGUUUGUUAAGUCAGAUGUGAAAUCCCCGGGCUCAACCUGGGAACUGCAUUUGAAACUGGCAAGCUAGAGUCUCGUAGAGGGGGGUAGAAUUCCAGGUGUAGCGGUGAAAUGCGUAGAGAUCUGGAGGAAUACCGGUGGCGAAGGCGGCCCCCUGGACGAAGACUGACGCUCAGGUGCGAAAGCGUGGGGAGCAAACAGAUUAGAUACCCUGGUAGUCCACGCUGUAAACGAUGUCGAUUUUGGAGGUUGUGCCCCUUGAGGCGUGGCUUCCGGAGCUAACGCGUUAAAUCGACCG